GAGUGUUACAGCUCUUUCAGAAUUUGUCUAGCAGGAUUUCUGUUUUGUUUUUUUUCUGGAAACCUAC
rnacentral:snRNA from 1 species